rnacentral:rRNA from 1 species
UACGUAGGGGGCAAGCGUUGUCCGGAUUUAUUGGGCGUAAAGAGCGUGUAGGCGGCCAAGCAGGUCCGCUGUGAAAACUCGAGGCUCAACCUCGAGACGUCGGUGGAAACCGUUUGGCUAGAGUCCGGAAGAGGAGAGUGGAAUUCCCGGUGUAGCGGUGAAAUGCGCAGAUAUCGGGGAGGAACACCGGUGGCGAAGGCGGAUCUCUGGGCCUGUCCUGACGCUGAGGCGCGAAAGCUAGGGGGAGCGAACAGG